AUUGAACGCUGGCGGCGUGCCUAACACAUGCAAGUCGAGCGGCAGCGCGGGAGCAAUCCUGGCGGCGAGCGGCGGACGGGUGAGUAACGCUUGGGAAUCUGCCUAUCAGUGGGGGACAAC
rnacentral:rRNA from 1 species